GCUUUGUCCAGGUCUACAGGCUGCACCUUCCUGCCGUGGGAACAUAGGUACGACUCGCCGUCCUCCAGCUCCUCCAGGCGCGUGAUGCUGUGCCUGCCCCGAGGGGUGCUGAUGUUCCUCACUCCAAAAGGACUUUUUCACACAUAAAGUCCCCAGAUGGCACCUGAUCCUUCUAAUGACUACCUGUAGUCUAAUCGGACUCGAAGAUGCUUCACCUAAUCGGGUUUCCUACUGGGCUUCCUGCCUCAGCUCUGAACAACAAAAACAAGGAUAUAUAAAUAGCACAUAGGUAGGAACCUUUUAAUGCAGCAACUACAGAAUGAUUAAGAAAGCAGUGCCUGCCUUCUCUCUGCUCAAACACUCACGUGAGAAAGAACUCCACUCUUACCUAUUGAUCACGGUGCUAUAGAAGUAGACAUUAUUUUUGAGAACUCAUGGACACAAAGUAGGGAACAACAAACACUGGGGCCCACUUGAAGAUAGAGUGCGAGAGGAGGGAGAGGAGCAGAAAAAAUAACUAUUGGGUACUGAGCUUAGUACCUGGGUGACCAAAUAAUCUGUACACAAGCCCAUGACACAAGUUUACCUAUAUAACAAACCAGCACAUGAACCUAAAUACCCCUGAACCUAAAAUAAAAAUAAAAGUUAAAAAGACCUACUAUUUGAUAGCAAACGA